GUAAUGCUGUUGGACUCACCUGCUCAGAGCCUGAUGAUGUGAGGCUGGUGGGAGGAGGCAGUCGCUGUGCUGGUGGAGUGGAGCGGUACGACCAGGGAGAGUGGAGGAUUGUGGGAUCAACCUCUGGCUUGAAGGCUGUAGCUGCAGUAGUGUGUAGACAGCUGGGUUGUGGCUCCACUGUUUCAGAACUACUUGGAAACACCACUAGAGGGAUUAGAGUUUCCUGUUCUGGGUUUGAGUCUUCACUGAGGGAGUGUUCCAGAAGUUAUUAUCUCCGCCCUGGACUCACAGUGAUCUGCUCAGAUCUCCUGGUCCAGCCUGAUAUCUUCCUGACUGACCCAAUGGGAGGGGU